rnacentral:rRNA from 1 species
GAUGAGCGCUGGCGGCGUGCCUAAUACAUGCAAGUCGAGCGAACAGAUAAGGAGCUUGCUCUUUUGACGUUAGCGGCGGAGGGGUGCGUACCAUAUGGUUAACCUAACUAUAAGACUGGAAUAACAAUGGGAAACCGGGGCUUAUGCAGGAUAACAUGUCGAACUGUAUUGUUCUACAGUGAAAGUCGCUUUUGCUUUCACUUAUAGAUGGCCCCUCGUCGUAUUAGCUAUUUGUCUAGGAAACGGCUCACCAAAGCAACGAUUCGUAACCGACCUGAGAGGGUGAGCGGCCAAACUGGAACGGAGGCACGGUCCAGACUCCUACGGGAGGCAGCAGUAGGGGAUCUUCCGGAAUGGGCGAAAGCCUGACGGCGCAACGCCGCGUGAAUGAUGAAGGUCUUCGUAUCGUAAAACUCUGUUAUUAGGGAAGAACAAAUGCGUAAGUAACUGGGCGCGUCUUGACGGUACCUAAUCAGAAAGCCACGGCUAACUACGUG